GGUACCUUUCUUGGCUGAUCCCUUUCGCUUUAUGGCGUGCUCGUUUGGGUUGGGCGUCGGUUAAGAGUGCUCGGAGCGCGGAUUAACUCCAGUCUCCUAUCAGGUAAUUUCCAGCCUUAAAUGGAUCGGAGCUGCGAGGGGCUCGGAGGAAGCCGCACACAUUGUUUAUGUUACAAUUUUGAUUAUUACUUUUAAAUGUUUUUAUGUGGGUUGUAGUAAAGCCGUUGUAAUUUUCUGGAUUUCAAA